UAGGGAAUCUUCCGCAAUGGACGCAAGUCUGACGGAGCAACGCCGCGUGAGUGAAGAAGGAUUUCGGUUCGUAAAACUCUGUUGUUAGAGAAGAACAGCGCAUAGAGUAACUGUUAUGCGUGUGACGGUAUCUAACCAGAAAGCCACGGCUAACUACGUGCCAGCAGCCGCGGUAAUACGUAGGUGGCAAGCGUUGUCCGGAUUUAUUGGGCGUAAAGCGAGCGCAGGCGGUCAAUUAAGUCUGAUGUGAAAGCCCCCGGCUCAACCGGGGAGGGUCAUUGGAAACUGGUUGACUUGAGUGCAGAAGAGGAGAGUGGAAUUCCAUGUGUAGCGGUGAAAUGCGUAGAUAUAUGGAGGAACACCAGUGGCGAAGGCGACUCUCUGGUCUGUAACUGACGCUGAGGUUCGAAAGCGUGGGUAGCAAACAG
rnacentral:rRNA from 1 species